rnacentral:lncRNA from 1 species
UUGACUUUCUGACAAGAGGUCUGGUAUUUGACACAACCCUGUAGACUACAAUGCUUGAUACAGCCCUGUAGACUGCAAGGCUAUGUGAGAUCUUUAAAAGCUGGACCUUGAUGUUAACAGAGGGUUCUAGAGGAAGCCAGCAAUUUUUUGGAGGCCUGAACCAUAACAUCAUGUUCUGGAUCUAAACUUUACUGAGGACCUUGAAUUACCUCUUUUUUUCUGGUAUGUUUCCACUCCUGAGAAAAGCAAGAGCUGCAAGACUGACUUAUAAUGUACUCAUUCAAUUAAUCAAGUGAGAGUGAAUCAAACCUUUCCAGGCAAUUUUGUUUGAAGUGUCUGCACUCUUCUCUGCAUCGUAUGAGGUGCCAACACCAGUGGGAGUUUGCCUGCGUGCGGUGACGAGGAGCUGGUGUUCUGUGGCCCAACUAGGACUGCCCUUUCCUUUGGCUGUCGAGGACUGCACUCGAUGGGAAGAGUUCUGCUUGUAGCCCAUGUUGCUCAAGCAGGGGAACUAAAACAAGGUUAACUGUUCGUUUAAAUUUGGCUCUUAAACACC